UACGUAGGUGGCAAGCGUUAUCCGGAAUUAUUGGGCGUAAAGCGCGCGUAGGCGGUCUGUUAAGUCUGAUGUGAAAGCCCCCGGCUCAACCGGGGAGGGUCAUUGGAAACUGGCAGACUUGAGUGCAGAAGAGGAGAGUGGAAUUCCAUGUGUAGCGGUGAAAUGCGCAGAGAUAUGGAGGAACACCAGUGGCGAAGGCGGCUCUCUGGUCUGUAACUGACGCUGAGGUGCGAAAGCGUGGGGAUCAAACAGG
rnacentral:rRNA from 1 species